rnacentral:misc_RNA from 1 species
GGAGGGAUCAUUAAAACAACAAACUUUGGGGGAUUGUCUUCAAGAGAGAGAAGUUUACUUAAUAAGAGUCUAGUGUUCUUUUAAGUAAAUAACUCUUUCUUUUAGAUCCAUUUAACUUUGUAAUAAGUUGGGGAAGUUAUUAUAAUGUUAAGUGGAAGAUCUUGGUGAUUGUUUACAAGUUAAUGAGUUCUUAUUUAACUUGUGUUAGAUAAAGUAUUAAGCCCAAUUCUUAAUACUUAACCAAUCUCGUCAUCUACCUUGUCAAAGUUAAUGUUUAACUGGAGUAGGUAUUCCUUUAGGGUUGAGUUCAGCUCCUUUUAGACUUUAACUAAAACAAUUGUAUAUAACUAUUAGUGAUGGAUGUCUCGGUUCGGUUUACGAUGAAGAACGUAGCAAAGUAUGUUAUGUAGCGGGACAUGCACUCUACGUGAUUCGUCAACUCUUCGAAUGCAUACUGCGCCUGCAGGCUCUGCCUGACAGGCUCAUUUGUAUCAGUUUCGACUUAUUACCUAUCACUCUUUGUGAGUGGAUUCGUCAGUGUGUUGAGUAAUCAAUGCUCUGAUUAGAUACAAUGUUGGGGUUUAAAGAUGUUUAGUUAGACUUUAAAUUAAAAGAAAGUAUUCUUAGGGGGUUGAGGUUGAGUACUUGUUCUUUUAACUUAAAGUAGUUCAAGUUAGUAGAGAAAAGGGACUGUAUUAGUUAGUUUGAGGUUUGAAUUCCCUUUUUGAUUAGAUAUUGUCUUUCAGAGUUUUGUGGAAAUAAUAGUACAUGUUCUCUGAUGAUAUAACUAAUUAAAAAGGUUGAGUUCACUCGCCACCUCAAUCUAAUGAGACUUUGCCGUUUGAAGUAUCUAUUAAUUAAUGAAUACUAAUUAACUUCUUUCAAACCAUUAUCAACAUACCUUUAGAGAGUGUUUAAAGUAACUAAAGUAGUUUAAAGUCACUUUAACUUCAGGGGAAAGGUUAAAGUGACUUUACUACUUUAAGUUACUUUUAAACACUUUAGUUCUUUAAAAAGAAGCUAUUUUUUUAAAGUCUAAUUUACUCUUAUCUCUCUUCUUCUUCGAACUGAUAUCAAGUGAGAUUACCUACUGAAUUUAAGCAUAUAAUUAAGUAGAGGAAAAGAAACUAACUAGGAUUUCCCUUAGUACAGGCGAGGGAAGAGGGACUAGCCCAGGCUGAAUCUGUAAUGGUUCGUCCAUUACCGAAAUGUAGCCUUUCAAACAGUCUCACAGGGGUGAAUAAUAGAUGUAAGUUCCUUGGAACAGGACGCCAUAGAAGGUGAUAGCCCUGUAACAUCUAUUGUGUUACUCCAAUACGUGUGAUUGCUUUGUCGAGUCGUGUUGUUUGGGAGUACAGCACAAAAUGGGUGGUAUGUACCAUCUAAGGCUAAAUAUUAAACCGAACCGAUAGCGAACAAGUAGCGUGAGCGAAAGAUGCAAAGUACUCUGAAAAGAGAGUUAAAGUACCUGAAAUCACUAAUAGGGGAAGCGAUUAGUAGCUGUUGUUAGUUGUUAUACAAUCACCUUAAGACAUUGCUUUAUAGUUGUAUUGUGAGUAGUCCGUUUACGUGAUUGCCUCUAGUAUUAUUAUUAAAGUGGUGUUUUGGGGGCACUUGUGUGAUAAUUACUCAACAUCAGUUAGGUUAGUUAUAGAAGGACUUGAGGAAGGUAGUCUGACUUCGGUUAGAUGUUACAUCCUUGGGUAUAUGUAACUAACUUGACUGAGGAAUUCUUUAAGUAGUAGCCUUGCUGGGUACUUGUGGCUCUGUUUAUCUUAAACAGUUAGUACUGCUUGCAGUACUGGUUGAUUUAGGGUGAUCACAAGUCCACUAUCCACAAUUACUAUUAGGGAUGUUGAGUUAACAGAUACUAAUCGACCCGUCUUGAAACACGGAUCAAGGAGUCUUACGCGUAUGCAAGUCGUAGAGUGAUAAACUUGAAGGCGAAAUGAAAGUGAUUGGUAGGAAAGGGGGUAGUCAGAGACCUCUUUGCACUAUCAACCGAUCUAAGGAUUUAUUCUAAGGAUUUGAGUAGGAGCAUACUCGUAAGGACCCGAAAGAUAGCGAACUAUGCGUGUAUAGGGUGAAGUCAGAAGAAAUUCUGAUGGAGGCUCGUAGCGGUACUGACGUGCAAAUCGUUCGUCAAAUAUGCGUAUAGCGGCGAAAGACUAAUCGAGCUGUCUAGUAGCUGGUUCCCUC